UACUUUCAAAUGCCUGUAUACUUUAUUAAUCAUACUAUUUGCAUACAUCUGAAUUUAUUUAUUUAUGGAGUAUGCUCACUAAGUGUACAGGCACUGCUUGGUGCACAAAUGGCUUCGCCCACCCCUUGCACAGGGAAGCCCCCAGGGUCCCCAGGAGGCGCCCAGGGUCCAAGGCCCGGGGCCUAGAGCUGCUACCGAGGACGCAGAGGCGCUAGGUCCUGCCUUCUACCCUAAACGUUCCUUUAAGCCGGAUUCCCAGGGGCUGCAGGCGGCCCUUCCUGCAAGUCGCCGGGGCAUCGCAGGGCAUCUGCUGCCCCCUAUCGGUGGUGAGGCGAACAAUAACCCGAACCCAGUUAGAAUCGACUAGAAGAGGCCUCUUGAAUAAAAGAAUAUUCCAUGACUACGCAGUAGCCAGAGGACUCUCAGAGCCUGUUUUCCGCAGACAUCCAGCUCCGGCUGCCGCGUUGUAACGCAGGUGUCCGCCAGUCAAGGAGAAGAUGAUGGAUUGUGAGGAGCAAUCUGACGCUGCUUCGGCGAAGGCAGGGAGCGGCGUGGGUUGCGGGGUCCCGGAUACACCCAGGGUUCACCUUGUGUUUUCCACCCUCCCAUUCACCAGUCCACCUCGUCCUUAGGAAAAGCGUUUGCCCUCACUCGGGACGGGGAUGUUCCUUAGGGCACAGCGUGGUGUUUUCCCAAGCCCCUGAAACACCUGUCCCCUCAUAUUACACCUUGAGCAGAGUCCAGUGACCUCUGCUGCAGAGGUGACAAAGGCCACUCUCCUUGAGUAGCCGCCUCAACUGUGUCCAGGAAUGGCCUUCCAACAGCGUGUUACUUCUCUGAUCCCUUUGGUGGGAAUAUGAAUAUGCUUCAGAAAAGUCAAAUAAAUACUGAGAAGAAAACUCUCGGACACCCCCGGCUACCACUGAUGCCCGUACAGUGAAAGUUCCUGCCAGGACCGCACAGGUAAAAUUCGCCUGCCCCAGGGACACAGCCGAGGCUGCUAGCCGACUGAGAACGUGUGUGACAGUUACGUACUGAGAUAUUUCUAAUUUUAUUUUCAUUAUUUUCUCCCACCCCACUACCACUCCCCUUCCACACACACACACACACACACACUUUGCAGUGUCCUAACUUGUUCACUCUUGUCCAUAUUUGCCUUGGCCCUUUUGGGAAGAAGGCAAGAGAAAGAUGAACGAAGGUGAGUGGGGGAAGGGAGGGAGGGGAAGAGGGAGAAUCGCCUUCUACGCAAGACUUUAAGCCGGAAGACGCCCCGGCGGAGGGUCUUCAGGACGACAACGGAAAAGUCCCACUACACGCUCAGAGCGCUGGUGCUGGCGCCCCCAACUGCCGGUGGCAGCAGGAGAUCCGGGAUCCAGUUGGUCCCCUCCGAGGGUUCCGCCCGCCCGCGCUGGCGGUGGGGCCCUCCAGGGUCGCUGCGAGUCUGGGAGAGGAAGGAGGCUCCGCUGGCUCCGUUCUCCCUCCCAGCUCGCCGUGGCCAUGGCCCCGCCAAGUCUCCGCUCCCGAGCGGCCGCAGGUGCCGAGUGGCCGAUCCCCGGAGCGAGUGAAACGCGGGCCUCGCCGCCCCAUCCCGUCCCCGGCUCCAGGAGGGUCUCCGGCGGGUGGCCGCGUCCCCUCGGUCCGGCGCCCCUUCCCCGCGGCCUGUGGGCGCGGCGCGCAGGGGCGCGGGCGGGCGGCGGCUCCCGGGCGCGGGCGGAAGGCGCGGCACCGCCUCGGUCACGGCCGCCGCCGGGCUCAGGCGGAAGCCCGGGCUCCGGAGGGGCGGGGCCGCCGCGCCCGGCGAGGCCCAGGGCUCCGGGCCCCGGCGCGCCCGUCGGUGCAUCAGCGGAACCCCGGCGGCCGCCGCGCCCGCCAGGCACCGAUGGCCCCUGGUCAGCUUCAGCGCCCUCCCCGCGCGUGGUGGGGCGAGGCCGUGCCCACGCGUGUCCGUCCGGCUGCGCGUCUGUCACUUGCACACUCGGAGCCCCUCCGGCCGCGCAGGCCCCGGCUCUGGGGUUGGCGGCUCCCGCGUCUGCCACCUCCAGGACCCGGAGCCGCCAACCCCAGCCUCCCGGCGAGCCGGGACUUCCCGGAUGGGGCCAUGCUUUCCUUCCAGGACAACCAGGGCUCCUCCCCUCCCGGCGAUCUUUCUAGGAGGCCACCUCCAGAGAUUCCGAGGCGAUUUCCUCCCUGCCGGUACCAAACCGGUAACUCCUCUCACUGAAGACACCAGGGGGACUGACAAGCUGAGUGAGUGGCGAGGGACCACCACCACCGAAAAACCCAGCGUUCCACGUGCGCGGACUGUUUUGAUCGCACUCAUUACCUGUCAGCCUCUGGCCAGGCAACAGCCUCCCAAACCUGCAGAGGCACUGUUUUCUACCCAGCAUCUCCGGUUGUACUUGUGGCAGAAUUUCCUACUGCUGGAAGCUUAUGAGUGGGCAAAUACUUUCUGUACCUUCUGAGACCACGAGGGCAUGCCAAAACCAGCCACUUGAAGUAAGGAGACCAGGUCUGAGAAUAUUCUGGAGUCCUCUACAGAGGGGAGGGCAGUGAUUGGCAACUCCCAUCUCUUUGCAAACAAGAAGCCAUGUUCUCUGGAGGUUUCCCUGGAAAGGCCAAGAACUCGGUUUUCAGUGUUGUCUGAGAGAGACGGGUUUGCCAGCAAAAGCUCCAUAGCCAUGAGUUACAGUGAAUUCAGUGGGGUGACCACAGCCUGGUGGAGAUGGACUUGACUGUGAGCGGCUUGGAACGCUGUACCCCUGGCCUCAGCGCUCGGGACUUCUCUCUGCAGAGUGCACAUGCACAAAAAAGUCAUAUGAAGACAUAACGGGAUGGCAGCCACCUACAAGCCAAGAAAAGAGGCCUCAGAAUGAAACUUACUUGCCAGCACCUUGAUCUCAGGCUUCCAGCCUCC
rnacentral:lncRNA from 1 species